AGCAGCCGCGGUAAUUCCAGCUCCAAUAGCGUAUAUUAAAGUUGUUGCAGUUAAAAAGCUCGUAGUUGAAUUUUGGGUUUGGCCGAUUGGUCCGUUCUUGUAACGAGUACUGGUCGGUUGGGCCUCACCGCCUGGUGAUGCGUAAUGUCCUUUAUUGGGUGUUGCGAGUAGCCAGGACCUUUACCUUGAAAAAAUUAGAGUGUUUAAAGCAGGCUUAUGCCGGAAUACAUUAGCAUGGAAUAAUAGAAUAGGACGAUGAUUCUAUUUUGUUGGUUUCUAGGAGCAUCGUAAUGAUUAAUAGGGAUAGUUGGGGGCAUUAGUAUUCAAUUGUCAGAGGUGAAAUUCUUGGAUUUAUUGAAGACUAACUACUGCGAAAGCAUUUGCCAAGGAUGUUUUCAUUAAUCAAGAACGAAAGUUAGGGGAUCGAAGACGAUCAGAUACCGUCGUAGUCUUAACCAUAAACUAUGCCGACUAGGGAUCGGGCGAUGUUGUUUCA
rnacentral:rRNA from 1 species